UUGCUACAGCAGCACAUAAACUAAAAUUAGAACAAUACAGAGAGGAUUAGCAUGGCCUCUGCGCAAAUAUGUAAGACAUAUUUCUGCAGAUAAAGCAAUGGUU